rnacentral:rRNA from 1 species
GAACUGAAGAGUUUGAUCCUGGCUCAGAUUGAACGCUGGCGGCAUGCCUUACACAUGCAAGUCGAACGGCAGCACGGGUGCUUGCACCUGGUGGCGAGUGGCGAACGGGUGAGUAAUACAUCGGAACAUGUCCUGUAGUGGGGGAUAGCCCGGCGAAAGCCGGAUUAAUACCGCAUACGAUCUACGGAUGAAAGCGGGGGACCUUCGGGCCUCGCGCUAUAGGGUUGGCCGAUGGCUGAUUAGCUAGUUGGUGGGGUAAAGGCCUACCAAGGCGACGAUCAGUAGCUGGUCUGAGAGGACGACCAGCCACACUGGGACUGAGACACGGCCCAGACUCCUACGGGAGGCAGCAGUGGGGAAUUUUGGACAAUGGGCGAAAGCCUGAUCCAGCAAUGCCGCGUGUGUGAAGAAGGCCUUCGGGUUGUAAAGCACUUUUGUCCGGAAAGAAAUCCUUGGCUCUAAUACAGUCGGGGGAUGACGGUACCGGAAGAAUAAGCACCGGCUAACUACGUGCCAGCAGCCGCGGUAAUACGUAGGGUGCGAGCGUUAAUCGGAAUUACUGGGCGUAAAGCGUGCGCAG